rnacentral:rRNA from 1 species
GCCAACGGCCAUACCAUUGUGAAUACACCGGUUCUCGUCCGAUCACCGAAGUUAAGCAUUAUUGGCCCGGUAAGUACUUGGAUGGGUGACCGCCUGGGAAACCCGGGUGCAGUUGGCU